AUACCAUGGCGUUAGCCUCGGUGCUUUCAAGGAGACGGUCCACAAUGUGAUGGGAAACGUUUACGUAGCUGACGAGCAGACGAUACACAUAAUGCAGUUCUCCUACGAUGGAAAAGGUCCCGAUGCCUUCUUCGCGGUCUCAAAGGAAGAUAAGCUGGGUGGUACACAAGAAAAACUUAAAGACGAGAAGGACCAGUAAGUCAAACUGGGCACGUACGACAACGCCGACAUCAUGAUCAAGCUAGGCGACAGUAUAGCGGGCUACAAGUCUUUCGGCGUGUACUGCUUCCAGGCUUCUGCAAGCUUCGGUUAUGUAAGCAUACCACCAGGUAUUCAGGUGAAGGAAAUGGAUUUGAACGUGGAUGGAAAAAGCGCAGAUGAGGAGAUAAAGGUCACUCUCACGAACCAAAAAACCAUGAAAGUCUCAAUAAAAACCAACG
rnacentral:lncRNA from 1 species